rnacentral:rRNA from 1 species
GACGAACGCUGACGGCGUGCUUAACACAUGCAAGUCGAACGAAGUGGCGAACGGGUGAGUAAUACGUGAGUAACCUGCCCUCCUUUUUGGGAUAAGCCUUGGAAACGGGGUCUAAUACCGGCUAAAGGGGGAUGGGCUCGCGGCCUAUCAGCUUGUUGGUGGGGUGAUAGCCUACCAAGGCGUUGACGGGUAGCCGGCCUGGGAGGGUGAACGGCCACGUUGAGAAGGGGAUACGGCACAGAGUCCUACGGGAGGCAGGAGUGGGGGAUAUUGCACAAUGGGCGAAAGCCUGAUGCAGCGGCGGCGCGUGGGGGAUGAAGGCUUUCAUGUUGUAAAACUCUUUCGAUAUCGAACGAGUAGGUGAAGAAGAGGCGCCGGCUAACUACGUGCCAGCAGCCGCGGUAAUAC